AAUGAUUGGAAGAGAGAUUGAAACUGAUGACUUGGUGCAAUUCAUCCUCAACUAAAUCCAGUUCACCUCUAAGUCAAGACAACUGACCCAUGCCCACAACAUUGUCAUGUCAUUGCUCUUCUUCAAAAACAAAAGAAGAACAAUAAUACUCUUCUACGCCAGGUCUCAGACCUCAUUUCAUUAGUUCUUCACAACAACCAUAUAAGAGUAGAGAAGUCCUUCAUCCUCAGAGAGAAGCAGCAAAAGCUUCUGCUCAUCCUUGAAUCAGGAGUUUUAAAGAUACUGACAGUUCAGCUCAGCAGCUAAUGAAAUAAAGGAAUGCUCCCAACCACAUGCUACCAUCUACUGGUGAUUGGUACCCCUACAAAACUGCUCCCUGAAGUUUCUACCACACUAAGGCAUGUCUUCAUAUUGACCUUGGAUCACUUGGAGAAUAAAAGAGUUCUGUGAGAUAUGUAAAAAAUUUGGGGAUAUAUCUUCCAAAUGAAUGCCAUUUUUACAUAUU